CCCUGAGGAGUGGCUUCCGGAGCUAACGCGUUAAAUCGACCGCCUGGGGAGUACGGCCGCAAGGUUAAAACUCAAAUGAAUUGACGGGGGCCCGCACAAGCGGUGGAGCAUGUGGUUUAAUUCGAUGCAACGCGAAGAACCUUACCUACUCUUGACAUCCAGAGAAUUUAGCAGAGAUGCUUUAGUGCCUUCGGGAACUCUGAGACAGGUGCUGCAUGGCUGUCGUCAGCUCGUGUUGUGAAAUGUUGGGUUAAGUCCCGCAACGAGCGCAACCCUUAUCCUUUGUUGCCAGCACAUUAUGGUGGGAACUCAAAGGAGACUGCCGGUGAUAAACCGGAGGAAGGUGGGGAUGACGUCAAGUCAUCAUGGCCCUUACGAGUAGGGCUACACACGUGCUACAAUGGCGUAUACAAAGAGAAGCGACCUCGCGAGAGCAAGCGGAACUCAUAAAGUACGUCGUAGUCCGGAUUGGAGUCUGCAACUCGACUCCAUGAAGUCGGAAUCGCUAGUAAUCGUAGAUCAGAAUGCUACGGUGAAUACGUUCCCGGGCCUUGUACACACCGCCCGUCACACCAUGGGAGUGGGUUGCAAAAGAAGUAGGUAGCUUAACCUUCGGGAGGGCGCUUACCACUUUGUGAUUCAUGACUGGGGUGAAGUCGUAACAAGGUAACCA
rnacentral:rRNA from 1 species